rnacentral:rRNA from 1 species
GACGUAGGGCGCGAGCGUUGUCCGGAUUAUUGGGCGUAAAGAGCUCGGUAGGCGGCUUGUCGCGUCGAAUGUGAAAACCCACGGCUCAACUGUGGCGUGCGAGCGAUACGGGCAGACUAGAGUACUGCAGGGGAGACUGGAAUUCCUGGUGUAGCAGUGAAAUGCGUAGAGAUCGGGAGGAACACCAGUGGGCGAAAGGG